GAGUUUGAUCCUGGCUCAGAUUGAACGCUGGCGGCAUGCCUUACACAUGCAAGUCGAACGGCAGCACGGGAGCUUGCUCCUGGUGGCGAGUGGCGAACGGGUGAGUAAUGCAUCGGAACGUAUCCUGGAGUGGGGGAUAACGUAGCGAAAGUUACGCUAAUACCGCAUAUUCUGUGAGCAGGAAAGCGGGGGACCUUCGGGCCUCGCGCUCUUGGAGCGGCCGAUGUCGGAUUAGCUAGUUGGUGAGGUAAAGGCUCACCAAGGCGACGAUCCGUAGCAGGUCUGAGAGGAUGAUCUGCCACACUGGAACUGAGACACGGUCCAGACUCCUACGGGAGGCAGCAGUGAGGAAUUUUGGACAAUGGGGGCAACCCUGAUCCAGCCAUGCCGCGUGAGUGAAGAAGGCC
rnacentral:rRNA from 1 species